UACAGAGGUCUCAAGCGUUGUUCGGAUUCAUUGGGCGUAAAGGGCGCGUAGGCGGCGGGGUAAGUCUGGUGUGAAAUCCCGGGGCUCAACCCCCGGAACUGCAUCCGAUACUGCCGUGCUAGAGGAUUGGAGAGGUAGCUGGAAUUCUUGGUGUAGCAGUGAAAUGCGUGGAUAUCAAGAGGAACACUCGUGGCGAAAGCGAGCUACUGGACAACUCCUGACGCUGAGGCUCGAAGGCCAGGGUAGCGAAAGGG
rnacentral:rRNA from 1 species